GUAUAGAGGUAUGGGACUGCAGGUGGAGGUAUAGAAGUAUGGGACUGUAGGUGGAGGUAUAGAGGUAUGGGACUGUAGGUGGAGGUAUAGAGGUAUGGGACUGUAGGUGGAGGUAUGGGACUGUAGGUGGAGGUAUAGAGGUAUGGGACUGUAGGUGGAGGAAUAGAGGUAUAGGACUGUAGGUGGAGGUAUAGAGGUAUGGGACUGUAGGUGGAGGUAUAGAGGUAUGGGACUGUAGGUGGAGGUAUGGGACUGUAGGUGGAGGUAUAGAGGUAUGGGACUGUAGGUGGAGGUAUAGAGGUAUGGGACUGUAGGUGGAGGUAUAGUGGUAUGGGACUGUAGGUGGAGGUAUAGAGGUAUGGGACUGCAGGUGGAGGUAUGGGACUGUAGGUGGAGGUAUGGGCCUGUAGGUGGAGGUAUAGAGGUAUGGGACUUUAGGUGGAGGUAUAGAGGUAUGGCACUGCAGGUGGAGGUAUAGAGGUAUGGCACUGUAGGUGGAGGUAUAGAGGUAUGGGACUGUAGGUGGAGGUAUAGAGGUAUGGGACUGUAGGUGGAGGUAUAGAGGUAUGGG
rnacentral:lncRNA from 1 species